rnacentral:rRNA from 1 species
UACGGAGGGAGCUAGCGUUGUUCGGAAUUACUGGGCGUAAAGCGCACGUAGGCGGCUUUGUAAGUUAGAGGUGAAAGCCCGGGGCUCAACUCCGGAACUGUCUUUAAGACUGCAUCGCUUGAAUCCAGGAGAGGUGAGUGGAAUUCCGAGUGUAGAGGUGAAAUUCGUAGAUAUUCGGAAGAACACCAGUGGCGAAGGCGGCUCACUGGACUGGUAUUGACGCUGAGGUGCGAAAGCGUGGGGAGCAAACAGG